GAUUCCAGAGAUAAGUGAAAUCAGAAUAGGUGAAGUCUACAGAGAUGAGUGAAAUCAGUCUAGGUGAGUCUAUAGGGAUGGUGAAAUCAGACUAGGUGAGUCUUGGCAGGCAUGUAAUCAACCAGAUGAGAUUCCAGAGAUAAGUGAAAUCAGAAUAGGUGAAGUCUACAGAGAUGAGUGAAAUCUGUCUAGGUGAGUCUAUAGGGAUGGUGAAAUCAGACUUGGUGUGUCUACAGAAUCUCAUCUUUAUUCAGCAACAUAUCUCAGUUUCCACUUUCCUUGUUUAUCAUCCAAGAUGGUUUCAUCAGCUCUGUUCCGUAUAAAUCAUUAUUAAGUUAUACUGUGAAUAAUUCAAUUUUACUGGAGAAUGUCUAGCUUGCACAAUUUUGGAACAUUUUGAUAGUCUAUAUACACUUCAGUGGAGUUCUUCAGUUACAAUCCUAUGGCCUGCAGGAGGCAAAUGUGUCUCUAAUAGGGUCCUUUAAGCAUGCCAGAUGAUAUUAUUAUUGGUUCAUUUGCCAGAUUCACUUUGCAACACUUUCCUCCUACAUCAGUCUGUGAUAUUACUUAAAUCCAGUUCCAAAUUGUGUUAAACCAAACUCACUCAGUCACUAAGUAUUUAUUUGUUUCAACGCCUACAUCUGACAACAAAGAUGUAAUCAUCGGUGCAGUCAUUGGUGCUUGCAUGCUUCUACUGUGUGCUGGGCUGGUUCUUGUGGGUGUUUAUGCCUGUCGUAGAAGACCCCUAGCAUCGGAGUCUAAUGAACGACUGGAUGAAGAUAAUGCGAGUAUGACCCCGUCUACCUUUGUCGCCACCCGUGCUCACACUGCCAGCUAUGGCCCCUACAUGGUAGCAUUCGCUCCCCCAGAUCAGGGUGGGGCAUAUGACCCCUCCUUCUACCGCAAGCAGAGUGAUGUGGACAGGGGCUAUAUUCAUUACGAGAAUGCCAGUAUUAAACUUGCAUAGGCAGACUGUGUUUCUCCAGACUUUGCAGUUUCAUGACUGACUUUGUGGAACAAUGCAAGACUUUAGUUGACUGUGCCAUCAUCAGACAUGACGAGGCCGCCAUGAGGCUGAGAGACUGUGUAAGAUCACCUAGAUUAUACUAGUGUCUUACCUGCUGCACCAAAGCAUCACUGUGAUUGUUCUAUAUAGACCUUCAUACAUACAGUGACAGCCAGAAAA